rnacentral:lncRNA from 1 species
GAUGUGUCUCCACCAUUUUUGAUGGGCUAAAUGUGUAACCUUACGGUAGAGCGCUUGGUCAGCACGUGUGAGACUCCAACACCCAAAAAAAUCAAAAGCAAGCACUCUACCACUGAGCUACAUCCCCAGCCCUUUUCAUUUUAUUUAGAGACAGGGUCUCUCAGUUGCCCAGGAUGGCCUCCAACUUGCCAUCCUCCUGCCUUAACCUCCUGACUAGCUGGGAUUGUCAGUGUGCGCCACCGUGUCCGGAUCCGUUGUUUUUGCUGUUGUUUACAGUGAAGUUCACCUGUUUGGUGUUUUGUUUUGUUGGGGUGCUGGGGAUGAAACCCAAGGUCUGGCACAGGCCAGGCAAGUGCUCUACAACUGAACUACCUACCCCACCGAGGCCCCUGAACACAGGUUUUUAAAUGAUGACUCUCCCCUUGGACUGUCCUGUCCCGUAAGUAUGUCCAGGAACAUCUGUGUUCCUGUUUCAUAUUUCAGAGCUCACACCCACUCGCCUUUAUCAGGGGCUCUUACAUUCCAGGCCCAUGUUCCCCUGCCCUGGUCAUCCCAAGGCUAAGUGCCGAAGAAAUCAAGACGCCGCCUUCCCCCAGAGCUUGCUGCAGUUAUCCAAACCCGCCCAGCCUACACCUGCUCGCCCGGGCCCACCAGUGCAUCCUGCAGAAACUGCAGUGGAAGCUCUUGCUCAGGUUUUCCCGAGUUCUGGCCCUACCUGGGGCUCCCUCUGUGGCCCUUGGUGUGGUGCAUCCCCCUUGGGAAUCUAGCCCACUCUCUUCAGUGGCAGUGGCCCACGACUGUGUUGGCUUCACCACAGGUCAAUUACAAUACAGCAGACAUUUAAAACUCCCUCUGGAGUAUCAGAAUAAUAGCUCCCCAAUGGUCUUCAUGUCCUAAUCUGCAGAACCUGUGACUUUGUGACCUUAGGGGCAAAAUGGACUCUGCAGAUGACAUAAAGGUCUUGAGUUGAGGAGAUGAUUCUGGAUUCUCCUGGUGAGCCCCAUAGAAUCUGAAGGGUCUCUACUGGAGGGAGGUGAGGAUAAACAGUGGGAGGAGAUGUGACCACAGAACUCCUCAGAGUGAGGAGGACCAUGAGCCAAGAAUAUAGGCAGCUUCUAGAUGCUGGAGAAGGCAAGGAAACAAAUCCUGUCUUCCAUGAUUUAGUUGUCAGUCUGUGGUGCUAUCCAGAGUGGUGGGCCCUUUAAGGGGUGGGGCCUAAUGGGAGAAAGAUAGGCCAUUGGGGUGUGCCCUUGAAGGAGGCAUCAGGACCCUGCCUCCCCCCUCUCUUUUUGCUUCCUGACUUCCAUGAGGUGAGUCGCUUCUGCCCUAUGCUCCCACCCAUGAUGUACUGUGUCACCACAGGCCCAAAGCAACAAGGUCAAGUGACCAUAGACUGAAACCAUGAGCCAAAAUAAACCUUCCCGCCUUAAGAACUGAUGAUCUUGGGUGUUGUCACAGUGACAGAAGACUAACACUCCCCGCAGAGCCUCCAGAAGGAACCAGCCCCGCCCUCAUUUGGGGGGAUAGCAGAUACUGAAGCUUGAACGCAGGAUGCUUCACCACUGAGCUACAUCCCCAGUCCUUUUUAAAAUUUUUGUUUGUUUGAGACAGGGUCUUGCUAAGUUGCUGGGAGUCUUGCUAAAUUGCUGAGGCUGGCAAUCCUUGCAAUCCUCCUGCCUCAUCCUCCAGAGUCGCUGGGAUCACCGAAGUGUGCUACUGUGUCUGGCCCUGCAGACAUUUUUAUUUUAGCCCACUGAGGCCCAUUUUGGGCUUCUGACCUCCAGAACUGUGGGAGAAUAAGUUUGUGUCAUUUUAAGCCACUAAGUAUGUAGUCACAGCAGAUGGAAAAAAACAAAUAUUUCCCUCUCUGGGCCUCUGAUUUCCUGCCUCCUUUCUGAGUCUUCAACCUUUAAAACACACCAUGUUCUUGCCCACCUGUCUCCUCACCUACCUCGUGUUCUGAGUCCUGGGCUGAGCCUCUCCAACCUGUUGAGUCCCUGCUCACCUGUUAAGCCCAAGGCCUUGUGUUCAGUCCUUGGUGGCACCUCCCUGCUGGCAGCUGUAGGCAUUGGAGGCCUCUCUUGCCCCUUGAACUUGUCUUUCCUCUGCACUCCUCCCACCCUUUGCUCUGUUGAUAUUCAGUCCCAACCCCAAACACUCCAGCUUCUGUGAGGUUCCAAACCAGAUUAUCAUUGUUUACUUUUGUCACUAUAAGGGGUCCGAGGAGACAGAGGAGACCCCUACUCAAACCUUCCAGGUCCUUGACUCCAUCAAAGAAAAGAAUCUAAACAUGAGGCCAAGGCAGGAGGAUCGCAAGUUCAAAGCCAGCCUCAGUGAGACUCUGUCUCUAAAUAUAAUGUAAGGACUGGGCAUGUGGCUCAGUAGUUGAGUUCCCCUGGGUUCAACUCAGGAAAGAGGGAGGGUGGGUGGCUCUGAGAGUGAGCCACCUUGCCUUGGCCUGUCCCCAACAUUUCAAGUGUUGGAAACAAUCCCCAAAGUCGAACAUUAAUGGCAUUUGAGACCUGGGACAUUUGAGAGGUCAUUGAGCCAUAAGGCUAAGUCAGGGGUUAAUGUGUUAAUUUGAUUAAUGAACGAGGGCAUUGAUUGAAGGAUUC